rnacentral:rRNA from 1 species
UACGUAGGCAGCGAGCGUUGUUCGGAAUUACUGGGCGUAAAGAGUGUGUAGGCGGUGCUCCCAGUCUGUUGUGAAAUCUCCCGGCUUAACUGGGAGGGUGCAGCGGAAACUAGAGUGCUAGAGGGUGGGAGAGGUAAGCGGAAUUCCUGGUGUAGCGGUGAAAUGCGUAGAUAUCAGGAGGAACACCUGUGGUGUAGACAGCUCACUGGACCACUUCUGACGCUGAGACACGAAAGCGUGGGUAGCAAACAGG